UACGUAGGGUGCGAGCGUUAAUCGGAAUUACUGGGCGUAAAGCGUGCGCAGGCGGUUCGCCAAGUCAGGUGUGAAAUCCCCGGGCUUAACCUGGGAAUUGCGCUUGAAACUAGCGGGCUUGAGUGUGGCAGAGGGGGGUGGAAUUCCACGUGUAGCAGUGAAAUGCGUAGAUAUCAGGAGGAACACCUAUUGCGAAGGCAGCUCGCUGGGACGUAACUGACGCUGAGACGCGAAAGCGUGGGGAGCAAACAGG
rnacentral:rRNA from 1 species